rnacentral:rRNA from 1 species
GGAUAACACAUCGAAAGAUGUGCUAAUACCGCAUACGCCCUGAGGGGGAAAGCGGGGGAUCGCAAGACCUCGCGUUAUUGGAGCGGCCGAUAUCGGAUUAGCUAGUUGGUGGGGUAAAGGCUCACCAAGGCGACGAUCCGUAGCUGGUCUGAGAGGACGACCAGCCACACUGGAACUGAGACACGGUCCAGACUCCUACGGGAGGCAGCAGUGGGGAAUUUUGGACAAUGGGGGCAACCCUGAUCCAGCCAUUCCGCGUGAGUGAAGAAGGCCUUCGGGUUGUAAAGCUCUUUCGGCAGGAACGAAACGGUCAUCUCUAACAUAGGUGGUCACUGACGGUACCUGAAGAAGAAGCACCGGCUAACUACGUGCCAGCAGCCGCGGUAAUACGUAGGGUGCGAGCGUUAAUCGGAAUUACUGGGCGUANAGCGUGCGCNGGCGGUUUUGU